AGAGUUUGAUCCUGGCUCAGGACGAACGCUGGCGGCGUGCUUAACACAUGCAAGUCGAACGGUGAUCUUGAGAGCUUGCUCUUGGGUGAUCAGUGGCGAACGGGUGAGUAACACGUGAGCAACCUGCCCCAGACUCUGGAAUAACCCCGGGAAACCGGAGCUAAUACCGGAUACGACACUGGCCCGCAUGGGUAUGGUGUGGAAAGUUUUUCGGUCUGGGAUGGGCUCGCGGCCUAUCAGCUUGUUGGUGAGGUAGUGGCUCACCAAGGCGACGACGGGUAGCCGGCCUGAGAGGGCGACCGGCCACACUGGGACUGAGACACGGCCCAGACUCCUACGGGAGGCAGCAGUGGGGAAUAUUGCACAAUGGGCGCAAGCCUGAUGCAGCGACGCCGCGUGAGGGAUGACGGCCUUCGGGUUGUAAACCUCUUUCAGCAGGGAAGAAGCGCAAGUGACGGUACCUGCAGAAGAAGCACCGGCUAACUACGUGCCAGCAGCCGCGGUA
rnacentral:rRNA from 1 species